rnacentral:rRNA from 1 species
GACGAACGCUGGCGGCGUGCUUAACACAUGCCAGUCGAACGGUGAAGGGGUCUGCUUUUGUGGGCCCUGGAUGAGUGGCGAACGGGUGAGUAACACGUGAGUAACCUGCCCCCUUCUUCUGGAUAACCGCAUGAAAGUGUGGCUAAUACGGGAUAUUCUGGGUCUGUCGCAUGAUGGGUCUGGGAAAGAUUGCGCCUUUGGGUGUUUUUGGUGGGGGAUGGGCUCGCGGCCUAUCAGCUUGUUGGUGGGGUGAUGGCCUACCAAGGCGGUGACGGGUAGCCGGCCUGAGAGGGUGGACGGUCACACUGGGACUGAGACACGGCCCAGACUCCUACGGGAGGCAGCAGUGGGGAAUAUUGCACAAUGGGCGCAAGCCUGAUGCAGCGACGCCGCGUGAGGGAUGGAGGCCUUCGGGUUGUAAACCUCUUUCGCCAGUGAAGCAGGCCUGCUCCUUGUGGGUGGGUUGACGGUAGCUGGAUAAGAAGCGCCGGCUAACUACGU